GUCCUUUCGGGAACAUCUGAUAAAAUUGGAAUAAUAUAAAAAAGAUUAGAAUGGCCUAACGAUAUAGAGAAGAUUAGCACGCCUCUAUGAAAGGAUGACACGUACAAAUCAAGGAAUGGUCUAAAUUUUU
rfam:Capsicum annuum cultivar Zunla-1 chromosome 6, whole genome shotgun sequence